rnacentral:rRNA from 1 species
GUGGGGAAUAUUGCGCAAUGGGCGAAAGCCUGACGCAGCGACGCCGCGUGGGGGAUGACGGCCUUCGGGUUGUAAACCUCUUUCAGCAGGGACGAAGCGCAAGUGACGGUACCUGCAGAAGAAGCACCGGCCAACUACGUGCCAGCAGCCGCGGUAAUACGUAGGGUGCAAGCGUUGUCCGGAAUUAUUGGGCGUAAAGAGCUCGUAGGCGGUUUGUUGCGUCGGCUGUGAAAUCCCGAGGCUCAACCUCGGGUCUGCAGUCGAUACGAGCAAACUAGAGUGUUGCAGGGGAGACUGGAAUUCCUGGUGUAGCGGUGAAAUGCGCAGAUAUCAGGAGGAACACCGGUGGCGAAGGCGGGUCUCUGGGCAACAACUGACGCUGAGGAGCGAAAGCGUGGGGAGCGAACAGG